rnacentral:rRNA from 1 species
GAUGAACGCUGGCGGCGUGCCUAAUACAUGCCAGUCGAGCGAACGGACGAGAAGCUUGCUUCUCUGAUGUUAGCGGCGGACGGGUGAGUAACACGUGGAUAACCUACCUAUAAGACUGGGAUAACUUCGGGAAACCGGAGCUAAUACCGGAUAAUAUUUUGAACCGCAUGGUUCAAAAGUGAAAGACGGUCUUGCUGUCACUUAUAGAUGGAUCCGCGCUGCAUUAGCUAGUUGGUAAGGUAACGGCUUACCAAGGCAACGAUGCAUAGCCGACCUGAGAGGGUGAUCGGCAACACUGGAACUGAGACACGGUGCAGACUCCUACGGGAGGCAGCAGUAGGGAAUCUUCCGCAAUGGGCGAAAGCCUGACGGAGCAACGCCGCGUGAGUGAUGAAGGUCUUCGGAUCGUAAAACUCUGUUAUUAGGGAAGAACAUAUGUGUAAGUAACUGUGCACAUCUUGACGGUACCUAAUCAGAAAGCCACGGCUAACUACGUG